CCUACGGGUGGCAGCAGUGAGGAAUAUUGGUCAAUGGGCGCGAGCCUGAACCAGCCAAGUAGCGUGAAGGAUGACUGCCCUACGGGUUGUAAACUUCUUUUAUAAAGGAAUAAAGUGAGGCACGUGUGCCUUUUUGUAUGUACUUUAUGAAUAAGGAUCGGCUAACUCCGUGCCAGCAGCCGCGGUAAUCCGGAGGAGCCGAGCGUUAUCCGGAUAUAUUGGGUUUAAAGGGAGCGUAGAUGGGUUGUUAAGUCCGUUGGGAAAGGUUGAUGCUCAACCGUAAAAUUGCAAUUGAUACUGGCAGACUUGAGUACAGGUGAGGUAGGCGGAAUUCGUGGUGUAGCGGUGAAAUGCGUAGAUAUCACGAAGAACUCCGAUUGCGAAGGCAGCCUACUAAACUGCCACUGACAUUGAGGCACGAAAGUGUGGGUAGCAAACAGGAUUAGAUACCCUUGUAGUC
rnacentral:rRNA from 1 species